UCGUAUUUACAUUUAACUUUCAACUGUUGAUUGUCAAUUUUUCAAUUAUUUUGAAAUAAGAAUGAAGUUUCACUGUUAGUUUUUGUUAGAUUUUUUCCAUUUCUGAAUUCUUCAGUGUUUUUCACGUACUAGUUGUCAUCUACAGAUUUUCGUUCUCCUAAUUGCUUGUAUGGAAGUACAGCAGAUCACUGCAGGCAUGCUGAGACAUUAAUUCACAUUUCUACCAUUUGGGAAUGAAUGUUACAACAUCCUUCAUUGAAAAUGGACCAGAAGAUACUGAUAAUAAUAAUGGUAUUAUGCAAUAUUGCAGUGCAGCAGUUCACCCAAGGCUUGCUGAGACAGGAAUUUGCAUUCAUACCACUU